rnacentral:rRNA from 1 species
AUUGAGCGCUGGCGGCAGGCCUAACACAUGCAAGUCGAGCGGAUGAAGGGAGCUUGCUCCUGGAUUCAGCGGCGGACGGGUGAGUAAUGCCUAGGAAUCUGCCUGGUAGUGGGGGAUAACGUCCGGAAACGGGCGCUAAUACCGCAUACGUCCUGAGGGAGAAAGUGGGGGAUCUUCGGACCUCACGCCAUCAGAUGAGCCUAGGUCGGAUUAGCUAGUUGGUGGGGUAAAGGCCUACCAAGGCGACGAUCCGUAACUGGUCUGAGAGGAUGAUCAGUCACACUGGAACUGAGACACGGUCCAGACUCCUACGGGAGGCAGCAGUGGGGAAUAUUGGACAAUGGGCGAAAGCCUGAUCCAGCCAUGCCGCGUGUGUGAAGAAGGUCUUCGGAUUGUAAAGCACUUUAAGUUGGGAGGAAGGGCAGUAAGUUAAUACCUUGCUGUUUUGACGUUACCAACAGAAUAAGCACCGGCUAACUUCGUG